rnacentral:rRNA from 1 species
UACGUAGAAGGCGAACGUUAUCCGGAUUUACUGGGCGUAAAGCGAGUGCAGACGGUUGCUUAAGUCAGUUGUGAAAUCUUUUGACUCAAUCAGGAGACUGCAAUUGAUACUGGGUGACUUGAGGGCGACAGAAGAAAACAGAAUUCCCGGUGUAGCGGUGAAAUGCGUAGAUAUCGGGAGGAAUACCAGUGGCGAAGGCGGUUUUCUAGGUUGCUCCUGACGUUGAGGCUCGAAAGUGUGGGGAGCGAAACGGAUUAGAUACCCGUGUAGUCCACACCCUAAACGUUGAACACCAGGUAUAGGGGGUAUCGACCCUCUCUGUGCCGAAGCUAACGCUUUAAGUGUUCCGCCUGGGGACUACGGCCACAAGGCUAAA